AUGAAGACCUUCCUCGUCCUUGCCCUCCUUGUCGUUGUGGCGACCAUUGAACCCGCCAACUCCGAUAUUCUACGUAGUGAUCAACCACAACAAUCAUUUCCACAGCAACCACAACAGAAAACCGUUCAGUCCUUUUUUGAACAACAAUUGAUCUCAUGCAGGGAUGUCCUGUUGAUGCAGUGCAACAUACUGGUACCGUCCUUCAAGUCACAAAUAUUGCAGGAAAAUGUUUGUGCGGUGAUGCGGAAAGAGUGUUGUGAGCAGUUCAGGCAGGUCCCUGAGCAAUCACGAUGCCUGGCCAUCAAUAGUGUCGCGCAUGCCAUUAUUUUGCAUGAGCAACAGCAACAUCAGCAACAACAACAAUACUCAUGGGGCGUGGGCACGUUCAAGCUACCUCAACAACAAUACCCAUCGGGCCAGGGCUCCAUCCAACCUCCAUUUUAGGCAAUAAGGACGUUUGUCUUGCAAACACUACCAACGGCGUGCGGUGCGUAUGUCUCACAAUACUGCUCCACCACCACCGGCUCAUUUGGCGGCUUCUUUGGUAACUGA
rnacentral:rRNA from 1 species